rnacentral:rRNA from 1 species
AGAGUUUGAUCAUGGCUCAGGACGAACGCUGGCGGCAUGCCUAACACAUGCAAGUCGAACGAGAAAGUUCCUUCGGGAGCGAUUAAAGUGGCGCACGGGUGAGUAACGCGUAGACAAUCUGCCCUUCAGUCUGGGACAACUUUUCGAAAGGAGAGCUAAUACCGGAUAACAAUGUUUAACCUAAGUUAAGUAUUUGAAAGCUUUAUGUGCUGAAGGAGGGGUCUGCGUCCCAUUAGCUAGUUGGUAAGGUAAAGGCUUACCAAGGCGACGAUGGGUAGCGGGUUUGAGAGGACGAUCCGCCACACUGGAACUGAGACACGGUCCAGACUCCUACGGGAGGCAGCAGUGGGGAAUAUUGCACAAUGGAGGCAACUCUGAUGCAGCAAUGUCGCGUGAGUGAAGAAGGCCCUUGGGUCGUAAAGCUCUUUUAUGGGGGAAGAUGAUGACGGUACCCCAAGAAUAAGCACCGGCUAACUAUGUGCCAGCCGCCGCGGUAAUAC